GACGAACGCUGGCGGCGUGCUUAACACAUGCAAGUCGAACGGAAAGGCCCGGCUCUUGUGGGGUGCUCGAGUGGCGAACGGGUGAGUAACACGUGAGUAAACUGCCCCUGACUGUGGGAUAACUUCAGGAAACUGGGGCUAAUACCGGAUAUGAUCUCUUGCUGCAUGGUGGGGGAUGGAAAGUUUCGGCGGUUGUGGCUGGACUCGCAGCUUAUCAGCUUGUUUGGGGGGUAGUGGCUUACCAAGGCUUUGAAGGGUAGCCGGCCUGGGAGGGUGGCCGGGCUCCUUGCGCCUGCGGUACGGCCCAGACUCCUACGGUCGGCAGCAGUGGGGAAUAUUGCACAGUGGGCGGACGCCUGAUGCAACGACGCCGCGUGCGUGAUGCCGGCCUUCGGGUUGUGAACCGCUUUCGCCUGUGCCGAAGCGUGAGUGACGGUAAUGGGUAAGGAAGCACCGGCUAACUACGUG
rnacentral:rRNA from 1 species